UCAGCACAGCCGAGUGAGAACAAGGAAAGGGAGGGGUGUCCUGUGGGAGAGACCACUCUCCGUCCUUACACCCACCUUCACACAGCAUGUGACAAAGGGAUGGGGAAACAGGAGGGAAAAGAAGCCUUGCCUGGGGCAAUGUUAGCUGUGGGAAAGGAGUCUCCCCUGUCCCUGUUCCCUACCCAUCACCCACAGCUCCUUGUGUGCUCUUAAAGGUUCCAGAUUUGACCACUAUUCUCUGCAUGGUUCUCUUUUGGGCACCCACCACUCAGGGUCUUAUAUACUGGGACCAAAGACGAGACCUGCUCUAUCUUGGCCAAUAGCGGUUGUGAGAUGAAACAGAUACUUGAGAGAGCAAGUAUGCUGGGAACAACAUAAUGACGGCCACUUGAAGUAAAAGUCCCUGUACUUAGGACAGAUGCGGAAGAUAGUCAGACCAUUUGAAGGAGGGGAAGAGGGAAAGAAAGCAGCAGAGCUGCCUUGGGGGAGUCGAAGGGAAAGCCUAAUCAGCAAGGCAAGGCCCACGGACUGAUAGGUGCAGUUUUCCCUGCAGAAGGGCCCCUUUAAGCAUGAGUCUUUUGAAGCUGCAGUAAUAGGGUCGGUGGCGUAGACAGAGUCAAGAAGAGAGAUGAGUAGGUAAGAAGUCAAGGCCCAGGGGCAGGACCUGUGGAUUUCCAAGCCUGGGGAAGCAGGGACAGCCAGAACCUCCCACGGUCUCCUGGACCUCGCUGCGAACCAGCCGGGGAACAUUCCAGCCUAAUCGCUGCUCAGAUCGGUAGCAGCAGAGGCCAAGCCUUAGAAUUUGGCGCCUGCCGGCCCGCGAGUUCGCUCGCUAGGGGCAACCCAGCUGACCCAAGUGGGGACUUCGGAAACCCUUCAAUAGCUGGAGGCCCAUGGGGUUUCCCCUGUCUUCAGAUCCGGGGGAACUGAGUAAAACUGAAGGGGAGGGCGGGCAUGGAACCAAAAGCCCCAGAUUGGGGAGGAAUACAAAGAUCCUGUCAGGAACGAACGGACCUCGGGACUUCGGAGUCACCAUGGCCCUGGAAAGACCCGAGUGUCACAGCCCAGGCCUGUGCAUCAUCAGAUCCAGGACCGGUCCUGCUGCUGUCCUUCACAGGAGGGGAGAAGAACACAGGUGUGGGACUCUAAGCCUCCCUGGGCCUCACAUUCCUAGUCUCCUAACUGGUGGGAAGUUGUGGUAAAAGUGCCCAUGACAGGGCUGGAAGGAUGUUGCAGUGAAUACAUGCGUACUGCUCUUGGCCGAGGAUUCAAGUUUGGUUCCCAGCAUCCGCAGCAUCAGACAAGUCACAACCACCUAGAAUACAACUCCAGUCCCCGGAGGACCGGAUGCGUCUGGCCUGCGAGAGCACCGGCCUUCAUGUGCACAUAACCACACGCACACGAUUCCAAAACUGCUCUUAAAAAGGAAUACUACUGCUUCUCAAGUGCCUACUACACACCAGUAUAUUUCGUGGAUUAUUGCACUAAACCUUCAAAACUAUUCUGUGGGCCAGGAGGAACUGAAUUCAAUGUCCAGCACACACAAAAACAGAUCUAGGUAUGGCAGCACAUGCCUGUCAUCCAAGAACCAGGGAGGCAGACACACGGGGUCCCUGGAGCUUGCUGGCCAGGCAAUUGAGCAGAACUGGUUUCAGGUUGAGAAACCCUGUUUUAAGAACGAAAAGACCUUUGUCCUCCAUGCACAAUCGCAUGUGCACGUGCAUGUGCACACACACAAAUUGUGUGAGGUGGUGCUAUUAACUGCUCCCACCUGAUCGACAGACCACAGCUUGGGUUAAGUCGCAAGCUGCAGAGCUGGGACGUAGAUCCUGAACCCCGACCCUGUGGUUCUCUGUGUUGUCUGCUACUCGUGUGUGCUCCUGACUGGUGUGGCUAGAUAUCCACAACUGGGUGGCUCUCUACCCCUGCAGUGACAACCGGAAGUGCUGAGCUCAGCCCCCUGCGCGCCUGCCCUUUGAACCCGUGACAAGCUUUUCCUGGCCACCUCCCUGAAAGUCCUUACUCUUUCCCCAGGGCCCAGCUGUGGCCUAACAUCCUGUGGGUGUGUGUGGCUCACGCACGGCAAGGGCAGUUGGUUCCUGGCAGCCUGUGUGAUCUGCUGUGUCUGCCUUUGCCUCCUCUCAUGUGACCACUGUCUAGGCGCAGGAGAGCCCCGUUCCACUGGGUCAUCAUGGUGCUUCCCAGGAAGGCCUUUUCCUGGACGGCCCUUCUUACUCAUCUGCGGUGCUCAGGCCUUUAUCUCACUUUCUCAGAGACCAGACUCUGCCUCCCAGACCCAAAUGCAGUCAAAACUACCGUUCCCUUUGGACUUUAUUACCUCAACCCCAAGCUGUUUGAUUUUGGGGGGCAGAUUCACAAUGGCUCUGCGCACCGGCAUCUCCCUGCCCAGCACGGAACUCCCAUAUGUUAAAUGAGUGAAGGAAAUGGAAGCUUGCCUAGGCCCCAUGACCUAAGGGAGCCCAGAAGGCAAGACCUGUCCCCCCAUCCUAGCUUCCUGAACCAAUUCCCAGCAGAAACCAAACCAGAAGAACAGCCCGCUCAGCGCAGACCCAGCUCUCAGUUUGGCACCCUCCCCCCGCCCCCCCCGACUUGAGCAUCAAGGCUGCAGCCUGGGUUGCCAGUUUCUUUAGAAAAAAGACAGCGACAGUGGCUGGUGUCAUUAAGUCCCUAUGUCUCAAGCUUCACAAUAACCCUUGGAAAUAGCAUUUCUGUUUUCAUUAUACACUGGAGAAAGCUAAAUCUAAGAGAAGCCCUAUCUGCAAAGUUCUCUAGCAUGAAUCCAGUGACUGACGCCACAUGGUCAGGGCUGGCAUAUCUUAAUCCCAAACUUUUGCUCCUCUGAGACAUGCAGUCCAAGGCGAAAAUCUGCAUGAGGCCCUACCUAGUAGGCUACGUGUAUUCAAGCACACUGAGUUCUCUGAAUCCUGAAGGCUAUCUCCACCCUCACUGUCCCUUAGGGCACGGAUUAACUGGACAAGUAUUUACAGAAUUCCUACAGUGCACUAGACACUUGAGAAACAAAACGAAACAAAAAAACCCAGAGUCCGUUCUUACAGUCUAUGAUAGUAGAAAAUAGGCAAAUGUGUGUCCGAUUACAAAUAGCCAUAAUGCAAAGGAAAACGAGAGCAGACACCAAGUGAUAACAAGAGCAAUAGAAUUUAGACUAGGGUGAGGGAGUGGCCAGAGAUAAGAUUAUACAUUAAUGCAACAGGCUAAUUAGCCGGUUGGUUAGUCUGGACCAGAGAGGUAGUCAGGGCCUCCUGCCGGGGCUACAGAGAACCCGAACCCUAGCUUUCUGCGCAUUUUCCUUUCCCUGCGCGGUAGGGGAUUGUGAGGAGAGAAUGCUACGGCCAUUUUGCCAUUUUCUGAAGUAAAGAGCUCCUGAGAUUGGAGAUCCGGGUGACUCCAGAAUAAGGGCGACAGAAGUCAUACGUGACUUUUUAUUUUAUUUUUAUUUUUGGACGCUUUGGGCUAAAACAGGAAGGGUAGGGUCUUCCACGCCCUGAUGCAUUGGAGCAGCUGGCGUCUUGCCUCCCUCCCCAACCCAGAAUGUGGUGCUUUAUCGCCACCUGGUGGUUGUAGUGGACACUGCAUGGGGUGGCCGGACCCCGCCGCCUAGGGUAGGAUACAGAGCUCAGCUCUUUUGGCGCAGAGGCUAACAAACCCGCAGGAGAUGCGACAACUCACUGCGGAAAGAUCAUUCCUGUUCUGUGACAGAAGAAGAAAUGCUGAUGGCCCACAUGAUACUGUGGGUCUCCACGGCGACACUGCAUACAGAGCAGCCCCUGAAGAAUGCUGAAGGGAAGGCCAAGAGCUCUGAAAGAUCCCUGGAAGGGAGCCAAAAGCGCACUGCUUAACCUCUGUCCAACCCGUAUAGUGGCUAUCGCGCUCAGGGUGUGUGAGGAUAACAGAUCGAGGGGUGCCCGGAGGGAGCGGGCACUGAGACCACCCCUAACAAACAGUGAGCUUUGUUGUAUUGUAAAGUGAUGUAAUGUGUUUACAUCACACUUCAAGUAUGUAAAGGGAGUUACUAACGUCUUUCUUCUUCCUAAAAUAGUCAGGUCUUGCUUGUUGUGAUGGCGUACACCUAUAACCACAACACUUGGGAGGCUGAGGUAAGAGGACCGAAUUCUAGGACAACCUGUGCUAAAUAGUGAGGACCCUAUCUCAAAGAUACACACACGCACACACACAAGCACUCACACACCCACACACCUCUGUAGAAUGUAGAAAAAAAAAAGUGGUUUUGACCCAAGAGUCACUGAAGAAAGGAAAAUGACCUGGGGUUCCCCGGGGUCCCUGUUAGAACAUCUGUUGUUGUCACCUGUUGAAGCUGUUGCUGGUCCCCUAAAUGUCUUCCUUCCAGAGAUUACAGGACACCGAAGAAUGCUAUUCCAGAGGAUGCAGUGGGAAAUAUCCGGAACCUCACAGGAAUGACACAGGGCCAAACCCAGGUUCAGCAAGCACCCUUUGGCCACCUGCUGUGAGCCGAGGCAACCUCCACAGAGAUUCACAGCCAGCGGGUCCCGACAACACAGCAAUUUCAUUUGGGAAAAACGCUUGCUGUGAAUAUUGACUAAUAUUUUUCUGAGUUUACUAGGUGCCCACUGUUUUAAAAGACAUUAAACAAGACGAUCAGAUUCUUGCCUUCAAGCAACUUGUCUUUCAAUGACUUUUCUACAUAUGGUGUGUUCUCUACUUAUUAUUUUUUCUCUACUUAUUUUUUAAAGGCACAAUUUACGGGCAGUCACCCUUUUAAGGAUAUAGUCCUAUGAGCAUUGACAAAUGUGGCUGUGUAGCCAUCAUCAAAACCAAAAUAUAGCAGUACACUUCCGCUGCCUCUAUAACCUUUCUCUGUGCUUUGGCACUAAUCUACCCUUCAGCUCUAACCACUGCCUGCCUCUGCCCCCGUUUCUGUUCUUGUAGCUCCUCCUUCAAUCUGAAUGAAAUCUUAUAGUGGGUAGCCUUUUUAAAACAGGUGUGUGUGUGUGUGUGUGUGUGUGUGUGUGUGUGUGUGUGUGUAUGUAUGUGUGUGUGUGUGUGUGUGUGUAAGAGACAGACAGACAGACAGACAGAGACACACAGAGAGCCAGAGUGCACAUGUAGAGCACAUGCCUGUAGAAGACAGUUCUUUCUUUCAGGAGCUCCUUCCACAGCAGGUUCCAGGUGUCAAAUGCAGGUCAUCAGGCUUGUGGGACAAGUGCUUUUGUCCCCUGGGUCUUGCUGGCCCCAGUGUGUAGCUUUCUGUGUAGUUGUUUUGGUUUUUGUUUGUUUUUCUUGGUGCUGAGGGUUGACUCUGGCCCUUGUGCCAGCGAGGCCUGUGCUCCUCCACUGAGCUAUAGUCCUACCUACAGUGGCCACCACCGUUUUGAUUUGCUUUGGGGGAUCCAUCUUUAUUAAUAUGCAUAUCAUUGGCUUAUUUUUUCCUUCAGCUUUUUAUUAUGAACCUACAGGCUUAUCACCUAGAUUGAGUAAUUGAUUGCAUUUUGCCUUUUUUUUUUUUUUUUUUUUUUUUAGGUUUUUCGAGACAGGGUUUCUCUGUAUAGCCCCGGCUGUCCUGGAACUCACUCUGUAGAUCAGGCUGGCCUCGAACUUAGAAAUCCAUCUGCCUCUGCCUCCCAAGUGCUGGGAUUAAAGGCGUGCACCACCACGCCCGGUUGCAUUUUGCCUUUGUGAGAAGUGGCUGCACUCUCACAAACUAUACUCAUUUGCACCAGCAGUGUGUAAGUUGUAGUUGCUCUGGGUAGAGUCUUUCUUGUUUUGUUAUUGAUACAGGGUCUUGCUAUGCAGUCCCAGACUGGCCUAAAACUCAGCCCAAGCUAAGCUCAGAUUCCAGGUUGUCCUGCCUCAGAGCACGGCACGCAGAGGCUACAAGCAUCCGUCACCAUAACUGGCUUGAUAAUAACGACCGGUGUUCCCUCCCUCCCCAUGGACAGAACUUGGCUUCCCAACAAGGAUCUCCAGUGUUUAAAUUGGUACAUGGUGCACAAAAAGCAUUAGUACUUGUGAGGUGAGCGUGACUAGGAAACCUCUUGUGACCCCUCCUCUCAUCCUGUGCCUCUCGUGGUUUUUUGUUUGUUUGGUUGGUUGUUUUUGUUUUUGUUUUGUUUUGUUUUGUUUUGUUUUUUUCCUGCAGUUACUGUGGCAACCAACUUGCAGUAAGUAGAGCUGCUUGGCCUGUCCGCCCCUCUCAGCCCCUCUCAGCCCCUCUCAGGGGUUGUCUCAGUGCCUCUGCCUAUCGAUUCCUACUGUGCAGCCCGGAAGCCUGGCACAUGGCACUGGAAGCCAAUGAAACAUAACCCUUUCUCUGAUGCUCACUGGACACUUGGGUGCAUUCUCCCCUGCUUUGAGGUUUGUUCCCACUGGGUCAGGACCCAGGUGUCCCACAUCGAGUCUCAUUGUGCUAUGACCCUUUCUACUGCUCUCCAGACAGUAUUUUUCUUUCUUUCUUUUUUAAGAUUUUUAUUUAUUUAUUUUAUAUGAGUACACAGUUGUUCUCUUCAGAUGCACCAGAAGAGGGCAUCCCAUUACAGAUGGUUGUGAGCCACCCUGUGGUUGCUGGGAUUUGAACUCAGGACCUCUGGAAGAACAGUCAGUGCUCUUAACCACCGAGCCAUCUCUCCAGCCCUCCAGGAUCUUAGCAGCAUCAAGCCCUUUCCUUGCUUUCUCUGCUUGGAAGGAAGUGGCAGAGGUGGAAAAGAAACUAGAACAAAUACAUGGAACUUACAGACCAGUGAGAGAGAUCAAUAAUAAUUCGAAGAUGGACAUCUGAAUAAUUAUAGGUGAAGAGGUACCUCAUAAAAUUUUAAUUUAUUCUCUGAAAUUUUUAUACAUAUAUAGAAUGCAUCUUUUUUUUUUUAAGAUUUAUUCAAUUAUGUAAGUACAUCGUAGCUGUCUUCAGACAUUCCAGAAGAGGGCGUCAGAUCUCAUUAAGGAUGGUUGUGAGCCACUGUGUGGUUGCCGGGAUUUGAACUCAGGACCUUCAGAAGAGCAGUCGGUGCUCUUAACUGCUGAGCCACCUCUCCAGCCCUAGAAUGCAUCUUAAUCAUAUCUAUCUCUUAUUUUCCACCUCUUCCCAGGUGUUUUGUUUUGUUGAGAUAGGAUCUCACUGUGUAAUCCUGGAUGGCCUAAAACUUACUGUAUAGACCAAUCAGCCUUGAAUUCACAGAGAUCCACCUGCCUCUGCUUCCCAAGUGCUGGGAUUAAAGGUGUGAGCCUCCACGCCCCACCAGGUACUUACUUUUUAACAAUGUUAGAAUAAUUGAGUAUCUAGCUGGACAAGAUAGUUCAACCUGUACAAGCCACCCUGUGGCUGCUGGGAAUUGAACUCAGGGCCUCUAGAAGAACAGCCAAUGCUCUUAAUCUCUGAUUAAUCUCUCUGAGCCAUCUCUCCAGCCCUUCUUAGUUAUUUUUGAGACAUGGUCUCACUAUGUUAGAUUAGUCUGGCCUUGAAGUAACAGAGACUCUCAGAGGCAGCUUGGAUCUCCAGUGAGUUAUGCUUGUGUGUUUUUAUGCUUUUUGUUUGUUUGUUUUUGGCUAGUCGGACAGCUGGCAAGCCUGAGCGAUCCUCUGGUCUCUGUCCUCUAUAGAGCUGUAAUUACAGGCAUGUAAGGGACUAGACAGUUGUUGUGUGGGUGCUGGGUUCAGAACUCAGUUCUCAUGUUUCUGCAGUGCUCACUCUUAACUGCUGAGCCAUCUCUUCAGCCCUAAAGAUAUAUUUUUUCCACAAUAGAUUUUUUAUUUACAAUUUAGAGUACUAAGACAAUCAAAUUAAAAUAUGGAUGAGAGCUGAGCAGUGGUGGUACAUGCCUUUAAUCCCAGCACUUGGGAGGCAGAGGCAGGCAGAUUUCUGAGUUGGAGGCCAGUGAGUUCCAGGACAGUCAGGGCUACACAGAGAAACCCUGCCUCAAAAAAAAAAAAAAAUCCAAUUAGGUAAUGAUGUAAUAUCAUGCAUCAAUUAGAAUGGGUAAGUUUAUUGUUAUUGUUUGUUUGUUUGUUUGUUUGUUUGUUUUCAGACAAGGUCUCACUAUGUAGUCCUAGCUGACCUGGAACUCACAGAUCUCCCUGCCUCAGCCUCCCAAAUACUGGGGUAUAAGGCAACCACCAAAGUUCGGAAUAGCUAAACUUUGAAAGACUGAAAAUGUCACAUGCUUCUAAGCCCAGCAGCCAGGAGGCAAAGACAAGUGGAUCUCUAUGAAUUCAAAGCCAGCCUGGUCUACAUAGUGAUAUCCAAGACAGCCAGGAUGGCAUAGUGAGAUCAUUUCUCAAAGAAAACAAACAAACAACAACAACAACAACAACAGCAGCAAUUCUAAAAAAGAACUAGAAAUAACAUGUGCUGGUAAGAAUAUGGAACAAUUAGAAUUCUAGCGUAGCGGCUGAAAUGAUAGCACUUGCGGCUUUGCCCUGAGGACCAGAGUUCAGUUCCCAGCACCAACCUGUAACUCCAGCUCCAGGAGAUGCAAUGCCUCCAGCUUCUGAGGGCGCUGUACUCAGGUGCACAUAACCACAUAGAUACACAUACACAUACAUAUACAUAAUUAAAAAUAAAUAGUAAAGUUAAAAAAGAAAGAAAGCUUGCAUGUUGCUAACAAGAAGGAGAACUAGUCCAGGAAGGUCAGGGCUACACGGAGAAACCUUGUCUUCAAAAGACAAAAACAAAAACAAAAAGGGAGUAUGAACUAGAACAAUUACUUUGGGAAAAGUUAGAACUCCUUAUAAAACUGAACAUACUCUUUUCAUAAGCCCAGCAAGCUCAAUAAUAAACAUUCACUAAGAGGAGAAAGAAAAAUAUCUGGUCAUACAAAGACAGGGAUUGUUUGAGAAGCUUUGCUCAUAAUAUCCCAAACUGGAAACGGCCCAGGUAUCCAUCAACGGUGAAUAGAUUACGGUAGAUUCCAACAACGGCUUAUCAUUCACUAAUAAAAAGGACCAACAGACCGACGAAUGCUACAACAGGAGUUUGUGAGUAUGCUGAUUCAUUUUGUCAAGUUGACACAAACUGGAGUUAUCUGGGAAGAAGAAACCUCAAUAGAAGAAUUGCCUCUUAAUUGCUUCUAUCAGAUUGGCCUGCGGGCAUGUCUGGAAGGCAUUUUUUCCCCCUUUGAUUAAUGACUCAUGUGUGAGGCCACAGCCCACCGUGGGUGGUGUCACUCCUAGGCAGGCGGUCUUGGGUUCUAUAAGGAAGCAGGUGAGCAAGCUGGGAAGAACAAGCCAUAAGCAGCAUCCUCCAUGGCCUCUGCGGUAGUUUCUGUCUCCAGGUUCCUGAUUGAGUUCCUGUCCUGACUUCCCUUGAUGAUGGAUUGUGACAUGAAAAUGUAAGCCGAAUAAACCCUUCCUCCCCAAGUUGAUAAUGAUCAGAGUUUUAUUACUGAAACAGAAAGCAACUAAUACAAUGAGUGAACCUCAAAAACACACUACCUCAAAGAAGCUAGAAAGAAGACUGCAUAUUUCAACCAACAAGUCAAACUGUGGAAAGGAGACAGAAAGAGGCCAGGAGACCCUAUCUCAACAAACAAAGCAACAAAAUGAAUGAGCGGUAUCAGUAAUAAGUCCUAGUAGGAAAGAAAGGUCGUAUUAUGAGAGUGACCAAUGAGGGAAGGACUGUGAUUGACCAGCCAGGGAAAAGGGCAACAUCUGAACAGUGGGUGUCAGCCAGGGAGAGAGGUGACAUCUGAGCAGUAGGUGUCGGGAGGGAGCCACCCAGGCAGAAACAAGGUGGAGGGCAUUCCAGCCAAAGGGUCCUGAGCUGGAAGUGACACACACGCCUUUAAUCCCAGCACUCAGGAGGCAGAGGCAAGUGGAUCUCUGUGAGUUCAAGGACAGCCUGGUCUAAAGAGCAAGUUCCAGGACAUCCAGGGCUACACAGAGAAACCCUGUCUCAACAAACCAAAACCAGGGCUGGAGAGAUGGCUCAGUGGUUAAGAGCACUGACUGCUCUUCCAGAGGUCUUGAGUUCAAGCCUCAGAAACCACAUGGUGGCUCACAACCAUCUGUAAUGGGAUCUGAUACCCUCUACUGGUUGUGUGUCUGAAAACAGCUACAGUGUACUCAUAAAAAUAACAAAAUAAAUUAAUCUUUAAAAACAAACAAACAAAAAAACCCAAACCAAAUAAAAAAGGACAAAGUUCUGGGAUCAGGAAGAAGUUUGGUGAGUCUAGGCACAGUCUGAAGGCUGUAGUAACUGACCAGAAGGAUCAGGCAGAGAGGAUACAGAGGGAGCAAAAGUUCCUACAAGAACUUAUCAGCCCUGAUAACGACUUAGAAUUUGAAAAUGUAACUCCCUCCCAGUCUAAAGAGCAGAAACAGAUGGGUACACAUCACAGUCACGGGUGAUAGCAGAGGUGACAUUUUACCUGAGAGCAGGAGAAUGGCAGAGUGGAUGGGUCUUUCCAAUGGAGGGUACUGUGUCUCAGGUGCAAUGGAGGGUACUGUGUCUAAGGUGCAGUGUAGGAUACUGUGUCUAAGGUGCAGUGUAGGGUACUGUGUCUCAGGUGCAAUAGAGGGUACUGUGUCUCAGGUGCAGUGUAGGAUACUGUGUCUAAGGUGCAGUGUAGGGUACUGUGUCUCAGGUGCAAUAGAGGGUACUGUGUCUCAGGUGCAGUGUAGGGUACUGUGUCUCAGGUGCAAUGGAGGGUACUGUGUCUCAGGUGCAAUGGAGAGUACUGUGUCUCAGGUGCAGUGUAGGGUACUGUGUCUAAGGUGCAGUGUAGGGUACUGUGUCUCAGGUGCAAUGGAGGGUACUGUGUCUCAGGUGCAGUGUAGGGUACUGUGUCUAAGGUGCAGUGUAGGGUACUGUGUCUCAGGUGCAAUGGAGGGUACUGUGUCUCAGGUGCAGUGUAGGGUACUGUGUCUAAGGUGCAGUGUAGGGUACUGUGUCUAAGGUGCAGUGUAGGGUACUGUGUCUCAGGUGCAAUGGAGGGUACUGAGUCUAAGGUGCAGUGUAGGGUACUAUGUCUAAGGUGCAAUGGAAGGUACUGUGUCUACCUAGACCUCACAUGUUGUAUUAUUAAAGUGCUUCCUGCAGGAGACAGGAGGCUUUGAUCUCUCAGCCUAGAUUCUACAGGGCAUGGACCCCUCUAAGUCUGGGAGAAUCAGUGUGAGGUUAUACUUCAAGCUAGAUCUCCAGCCUAGGCCAGCAGAGAGCAGGAACCAGGGUGUAGUGUGAGAUAAUGGAGAAGGCCUGAACAGGGGUGGAGGCGGGGCCUGGGGAAGUGACAAACUGCCAAUCAUCAGUUGGCCCAUCUAGAUGGAGGAAAAGAGCUGCAGAGUUUGAGGACCCAGAGGGUAUAACUGCCAAGGUUGAUAUGCACCUGCUCCUGAGAAGGGCUCGUCACACCAGGAGAUCCAUAGGCUCCGAACUCUGGAUUCAGAGGCUCUGGAUGGAACCCAGGAAUCCAUAUACAGGAAAAUAUGGCAGGCUAUGGAAAUAUUACUUAAGUGGUGUGAUGAUACAGGGGAUGUGUCAAAAUCCAUUAACUGUGCUCCUUAAAAGAUGUGCAACUUACCGAAUGUAAGAUCUGCCUCCAGCCAGGUGUGGUGGUUCGUGCCUACUCUGGUACGGGUGGGCUCCACAUCUUGUGGCUGCCAAUUUAGCCUCUCCAGGCUCCUGGAGCUGGGGGCAGAAUGGCCCCACUCUCACCUGGAUAGAGGCUAACGUGGCCAGAGAGCCAGGUAAAAGCAGCAUAUAUAAAGCUCUGGAUGUGACAUGAACAAAAGUUGUGUCUCUACCGCUGCAGCUAAAGAAUAGCAAUUGACUGGCCCUGGCCACCCCACAUCACAAUGGCUCCUGAUCAUCUUUCAUAAAACGACCAUGGUGGUACGUUCCUGUAACAAUAGCACUUGGGAGGUGAAAGCAGAAGAAUCAGAACUUCAAGACUAGAAUAGGAAGAUACCCUGGCACCACCAGAGAGCAACUCCAGUUACAGACCACCCUGGAUAAACCUUCCCUAUGUUUCCCUGUUGCUACCAUCUCUUAUCAAACGGACCAGCAAGAAUGAAAAGCUUGCCAGGUAUGGGAGGCCGCAGACAGAGGCGACAUGGAAGGACCAAGAAGUGGGUAGAUUGUGACUUGCAAGAGAGAAUUAUUUUGAACCAAGUCUUGCGUGCUGACAGCAUAAUGAUCAUUAUUAGGGCCUCAGAUAUAACAUGAAGUCCGCCCUAAAGUUAAAUUUUCCCUUUCAGAUAAGCAUGGCCUGUCAGCGUUGUAUAAAAUGGUUCUACGCCAACCUCCUCCAUACCAUGGGAUUGGAAUGUUCCAGCUACUCCCCCACCCUCCGCCCCCAGUUACCAUUCCCAAAGGCCUUUGCUUCUCUCUUACCUUAGUCUUCUAAAAAAAUCAACCUAAGAGAUUGAGUAGUGGUAUGCAUGACUUUAGUCCUAGCACUCAGGAAACAGGCAGGCAGAUCUCUGUGAGUUCGAUGUCAGCCAGGGCUACA